rnacentral:misc_RNA from 1 species
AGAGAUCUCCAGCAGCAUUGACCUACAUUCAUUGCUAACAACUUAAAAUACGCAGAUGAUCACAUGCAGAAAAAGCACAAAAAAUCACACAGAAUUCAUGGUAUAUAAUUGAAAACAAACUAAUGAGGAACUGGAGUUGGAGGUCACCAGGCAAUGCAUAGUGACCAUCUUUCAUAUUCCCAAAAAGCAUUUCACGUCUAUGCUAGUUAAAUGCGAAUGUUUGCAAAUCAAUGAUAGAUAUUUCUUUUCAUUGAGUGCAAGGAGGCCACCAUAAACAUUAAACAUUAAAUUCAACCUGAGUACAGCAAUGGCAGGUUGUUCUGAACUGAAACUGACUAGUAACUACAAGCCAUGCCAAGAAAAAAAGAGGCAUCAAAACCCACUAGGAUUGGAUAACUCCAAGUCACCAUCAAGAGGUAAUAUUCCUGAAAGAAGUUAAUUGUUUCACAUCCCAAGAUGUAGAGGUUACAUUUCUCCACCCUUUGGAGAAGAAGGUAAGGAUUCAGAUGCAGUCAUCUUAUGGCCCCAGCCACAGAGAGAGAGAGAGAGAGA